rnacentral:lncRNA from 1 species
CUCAUAUAAAUAUGUGGUCUAGGAGUCUCUAAAAAAUUGUGUGGACUAAAAGUUUCAUGUAAACACUAUAUAAAGGGGUAGGAUCCUCCAUUUUGUAAAACAAGCCAAAGUAUGUAAGUUUUGGAGUUGAGAAAUACAAGUUUUCUUUUGUUCAAUUCCUUCUUCCUCUUAAUAUUAUCCUCCUUAAAAGCCUUAACUAAUCUAAGUUAGUAAACUCCUUUUUCCUCCAACAUAGAAAAAUAUUGUAUAAAAUUGUCCAUCUAAGGAUGUUGAUAGACAUUUACUUUGUUAUUGUUAUUUUGACAGGUAGCAUGCAAGAAGUUUAUCAAAACAUGAAGCAAUGUCCAAGUGGUAUUGAAAUAGUUUAUUUUGCACCAGAUCAAUGUGUUUCUCUAUGUGAUAGCUAUUGCAAACAAGGUGGAUGGUGUGGGGGAAGCUGUGAUUUGCCAAUGACUACUGAUUGUUGUUGUACUGGUUGCCAUCAAAGUGAUUCUGUUCCUGGAUAGAUAAGCAUUGUUUGAACAAUAAAUAAAUAUAUGGUUUUCUGAAAUUUGUUUCUUAUGCUUCCCUCUUUUUUUAUUUUUUUCUUUUUCGGAGAAUUAGGGAUUGUUAAAGUAAUAAGUUAAUUAGGUUAAGGGUAGUUUAGUCUUAUUAUGUUUCCUUAGUUUUACACAUAUAAACUAUUGUAAUCUCACAUAUUUUGAAACCAAGUUUGGAGGCUGCUAUCAAUCGGUUUUCUCUCUUUCUCCUCCAUUCUUCAUCUUUGAUUUGUUGUUUUCUACAUGGUAUCAGAGCUGGUUUGAUUUUGGGUUAAACUUGCAAGGUGUCGUUUUCCGGCGAGUGGCCUUGUGCUGCUCGCCCGGCCAAUUUUUUUUGUUUUACUUUGUUUCUUUGUCUACGCGUUGUCCUGUUCAUUGCGGCCGGCUAGGGUUUCACCAAACUGCUACUCCUUUAUCCCUUUAACAUAGAUCAGUUCAUAUAACCAUGAAUGAAGAGUUCAAUUAAGGAUUUCUGUUUCUGAUAUAUCUGCAAAGGCUUGGGUUUUUCUUCUAGUGGCUGAAAAAUGGCGACAGCGAACCCAUUUGAUUUGUUGGGAGACGAAGAUACGGAGGACAUGUCGCAGCUUAUGCAAAAAAAAAAAAAAAUCGAGCCGAAGAAAGCCCUAGCUCCCUC